rnacentral:rRNA from 1 species
UACAGAGGUCCCAAGCGUUGUUCGGAUUCAUUGGGCGUAAAGGGUGCGUAGGCGGCGCGGUAAGUCGGGUGUGAAAUCUCAGAGCUCAACUCUGAAACUGCAUUCGAUACUGCCGUGCUUGAGGACUGGAGAGGAGACUGGAAUUUACGGUGUAGCGGUGAAAUGCGUAGAUAUCGUAAGGAAGACCAGUGGCGAAGGCGGGUCUCUGGACAGUUCCUGACGCUGAGGCACGAAGGCCAGGGGAGCAAACGGG